rnacentral:rRNA from 1 species
CUACGGGUGGCUGCAGUGGGGAAUAUUGGACAAUGGGGGAAACCCUGAUCCAGCAAUGCCGCGUGUGUGAAGAAGGCCUGCGGGUUGUAAAGCACUUUCGGUUGGGAGGACUGCUUCUAGCACUAAUAUUGUUGGAAGUUGACGUUACCUUCAGAAGAAGCACCGGCUAACUCCGUGCCAGCAGCCGCGGUAAUACGGAGGGUGCAAGCGUUAAUCGGAAUUACUGGGCGUAAAGCGCGCGUAGGCGGCUAGAUCAGUCGGGUGUGAAAGCCCCGGGCUUAACCUGGGAACUGCAUCCGAUACUGUCUAGCUUGAGUACAGGAGAGGAGAGGGGAAUUCCACAUGUAGCGGUGAAAUGCGAAGAUAUGUGGAGGAACACCAAUGGCGAAGGCAGCUCUCUGGCCUGAUACUGACGCUGAGGUGCGAAGGCGUGGGGAGCAAACAGGAUUAGAUACCCCCGUAGUC